AAAUAGCUUCUCUUCAUUGUUUCAAAUGGAUAAAAAAGUGAAAUGUCCACAAUGUCCUUCAUUUUUUUCUUCCAGUUUUUCUUCUUUUCUUCAUAUUUCUUUUUUUCUCCCCUCCUUUUUUUUCUUCUCUUUCCUUCAUCUCUUCAUCACCCCGUUUCCUUCCUUAUCCACUCGCACCAUCAGCCCCCCAGCGCCUCUGCUCCAUCUCGCACCGCCGGCCCCGGCUCCUUCGCUCCCAGUGCACCAGCCCGCUGGCCUAGCGCCGCCUCCCUCUGGCCCGCACGGAUGCGCCACCUCCCUUCGGCGUGCGCCCCAGCGCCGCCUCCCUCCAACCCGCGCCAAUGCGCCGCCUCCCUCCGGCGCGCGCCCUGUCCCAGCCAUGGAGCUCCACCGCGCCGUUGCUCUGCCCCACGCCUGCUCCCUGCUGUCCUCGGCCAUGGGCCACGGUGGGUAAAAGGGUCACAUGCACCCGCGGUUGAGGAUGAAGCCGCGGGGAGCCAAAUUUUUUGGCUUCUCCCCCACCAAAACGCUCCAGAGAGUGGAUUUCAUGGAGCUCCUGCACUGGAGCCGUUUUGCUUGUGCCCCUUUGGUAGGGCUUCACCAGAAGCCGGUGGAGGAGCCGGUGGUGAAGCCCUGCCAAACGGAGCCAAAUAUUAACAUAAACUUAAAUGCCGACAGUAUGUUGCACUAUGCUUAAAUCACUGUACAUGAGUCCAAUACUAGAUAGCCCCAAUAUAAUCAAGCCAGAACAACACCUUGAACCAACCUGAGUGUUGAUUCUACACAAUUACCUUACCAAAACCAGGGAUCCAUACUGGUUUAACGUUGAACUACUACACACCAGCAAUCAAUGCGAAGUUAUCAGCAACACUAACAACAGGGCGAAAUAUAGAUGCAGAUGUACUUCUACAGUACAAUAGCUGCUGCUAAAUCAACUCAGCUGUUGAACCCCAACCUUGCAGGAUUGUAACUAACACAAUUCCACACCAACCAAACCAAACCCGCAAGCAACUGAUCGGAUGCAAAAUCGGGAGGAGCGACAAGUCAAAGUCAACCCACUCAC
rnacentral:lncRNA from 1 species